rnacentral:rRNA from 1 species
AGAGCCUACGGGAGACAGCAGUGAGGAAUAUUGGUCAAUGGGCGGAAGCCUGAACCAGCCAAGUCGCGUGAGGGAAGAAGGCCCUGCGGGUCGCAGACCUCUUUGGACGGGGAGCAAGGCCGCCGACGUGUCGGCGGAAGGAGAGUACCCGGAGAACAAGCAUCGGCUAACUCCGUGCCAGCAGCCGCGGUAAUACGGAGGAUGCGAGCGUUAUCCGGAUUUAUUGGGUUUAAAGGGUGCGCAGGCGGCACGGCAAGCCGGCGGUAAAAUCGCGGGGCUCAACCCCGCCCAGCCGUCGGAACGCC